AGGAUUUAAGUAAAGAAUAAGUCUCUAAAGAUCAAGAAAAAGUAUAAACAUAAAUUCAGACAAAAAAUACUAGUAAAUUAUAUGUGUGUGUGCUUGUGUGUGGUGUGUGUACAGCUGAUUAAAAACAGCUAAUGUCUGAUGGAGUUAGGUGAGUGGCAUUUCGCAAACAAGAAUUCAGAGCCUAGUACAUCUCUAGCAGUGUCUGCCACCAAUGGUGAAAUGCCCACAUGGCAGCUACAGAAAGGCCUGAGAAAACUAGGGUGAAAAAGAGGAGGAGAAGGAAGAAGAAGGAGGAAGGUGGGUGCAUAUACAGAAAUGUUGAGCAGCCAGAGAGCAUAUCAGAUCACAUGUACCAGAUGGCAGUUAUGGCCAUGGUGACCAAAGAUGACCAUCUUAACAAAGACAGAUGUGUGUGCCUAGCCCUGGUUCACAAUAUGGCAGAAUGCAUCGUUGGGGACAUAGCGCCAGCAGAUAAUAUCCCCAAAGAAGAAAAACAUAGGCGAGAAGAGGAAGCUAUGAAGCAGAUAACCCAGCUCCUACCAGAGAACCUUGGAAAGGAGUUCUAUGAACUUUGGGAAGAGUAUGAGACCCAGUCUACUGCAGAAGCCAAAUUUGUGAAGCAGCUGGACCAACUUGAGAUGAUUCUUCAGGCGUCUGAAUAUGAAGACCUGGAGAACAAACCUGGAAGACUGCAGGACUUCUACGAUUCCACAGCAGGAAAAUUCAGUCACCCUGAGAUCAUCCAGCUUGUCUCUGAACUUGAGGCAGAAAGAAAUGCUAACAUAGUUGCAGCUGCCAGUGAGCCACGCUCCUGAGAUGCUGUCUGCGUUGCUGUCCUGUAACCAACAUUUUAUUUUUAUGUUUCAUGGUAUUGCCAUUGUGGUCUGUUGAUUUCUCUAGAUGUGUCUGCUUAUUUUUAAUUGGACUUCAGCAAGAAAUGUAAUGUAAUUUGGGCACUAAAGGAAGCCGUGGAACAGGAAGUGGCAAUGAACAUGUCAUGGAUGAAGACCGGAGGGGGGAGUAAUGCCUUUUUUAUGAACAAAAUAAAUAUUAAAUGCCUAAAA